rnacentral:rRNA from 1 species
GUCGAGCGGAUGAGAGGAGCUUGCUCCUCGAUUCAGCGGCGGACGGGUGAGUAAUGCCUAGGAAUCUGCCUGGUAGUGGGGGACAACGUUUCGAAAGGAACGCUAAUACCGCAUACGUCCUACGGGAGAAAGCAGGGGACCUUCGGGCCUUGCGCUAUCAGAUGAGCCUAGGUCGGAUUAGCUAGUUGGUGAGGUAAUGGCUCACCAAGGCGACGAUCCGUAACUGGUCUGAGAGGAUGAUCAGUCACACUGGAACUGAGACACGGUCCAGACUCCUACGGGAGGCAGCAGUGGGGAAUAUUGGACAAUGGGCGAAAGCCUGAUCCAGCCAUGCCGCGUGUGUGAAGAAGGUCUUCGGAUUGUAAAGCACUUUAAGUUGGGAGGAAGGGUUGUUUCCUAAUACGAAGCAAUUUUGACGUUACCGACAGAAUAAGCACCGGCUAACUCUGUGCCAGCAGCCGCGGUAAUACAGAGGGUGCAAGCGUUAAUCGGAAUUACUGGGCGUAAAGCGCGCGUAGGUGGUUUGUUAAGUUGAAUGUGAAAUCCCCGGGCUCAACCUGGGAACUGCAUCCAAAACUGGCAAGCUAGAGUAGGGUAGAGGGUGGGUGGAAUUUCCUGUGUAGCGGUGAAAUGCGUAGAUAUAGGAAGGAACACCAGUGGCGAAGGCGACCACCUGGACUCAUACUGACACUGAGGUGC